rnacentral:rRNA from 1 species
UCGAGGAUAUUUAGCAAUGGGCGAGAGCCUGACUAUGUGACGCCGCGUGAGGGAUGAAGGCCUUCGGGUUGUAAACCUCUUUCGAUGGGGAAGAAAAUUCCGGUUAACUCCCGGAACUGACGGUACCUAGAGAAGAAGCCAUGGCCAACUCUGUGCCAGCAGCCGCGGUAAUACAGAGAUGGCGAGCGUUACUCGGAUUUAUUGGGUGUAAAGGGCAGGUAGGUGUCCUUGCAAGUCAGGAGUGAAAUCCUAUGGCUUAACCAUAGAACUGCUUUUGAAACUGCAAGGAUUGAGGAUAGAAGAGGAGAGCGGAAUUCCCGGUGUAAGGGUGAAAUCUGUAGAUAUCGGGAGGAACACCAGUGGCGAAAGCGGCUCUCUGGUCUAUCCCUGACGCUGAUCUGCGAAAGCUGGGGGAGCAAACAGG